ensembl:miRNA aca-mir-5408c aca-mir-5408c
UGUUUUGUUAGACUGUAACUCCCAAGAAUCCUGCAGCCAGCAUGUUAUGGUUGGUUGGGGAAUUCUGGGAGAUGUAGUCCAAACAAGUAA